GCUGAAUGCAGAAGAUGCAAAGUUGAAUCAGUCACAGUGGAAAUAAGGAAGAGGAAAGCUCACCCACUGGAAAUUGAAAGAUUUUGGAGGCUGAAUAAUUCAAAUGUAAAGCAUCACUUCAAAUAAAUUAUCCAGAGAACACAAUAAGAAAGAAUUGUGCUAUGAAGUAGACCAUUUCAGGUCCAGUGUUUCCUGAACUGGAAAGUUCAAGAGUUGAUGGAUUUUGAUCUUCUGAAUAUUGCUCUUUGACUAAGGGAAUCACUAUUCCUUAUCUGGGAUGCUUUUGUUUGAGAACCAACUGACUAAGCAUUAAACCAAACAGAUGCUUUGUAUGGCCAGAAAAAAAUGAAUUCUCUAAGGAACAGUUAAAGCCCACUGAUAUGGUAAUUUGACAACCAGACAUGUUUCUAAUAGAAUUUCAUACCAGUUUUGAUUGUCAGCCAGAUUCAUUCUCAAUAACCCUACAGAAAUGGGUACACAGAAAGGUGGAAAGCAAGAGAAGAGGUAAGAAAGUCUAACAAUCAGUAUGGUUUUAAGUGCAAAUUUAAUCCCAGUUCUGCCAUUUAUUGGCAAAUAAUUUCCCUUUUCUAUGCUUCAACAGCCCUGUUUAUAAAAUAAGGGGGUUGGAUCAUCCACCUUUUUCAAGUUUAGUCUGCAAAAGCAUUACCACCUGAGCUAAUUCAUAUACGGGUUUUCAAAUCCCACCUGCAGGUCAUUAGAUCGUUAGAUCCAGGUUAUGGCCAGCAGUUUGCAUUUUAAGCCAGCAUUUAAUUUGACUCUAUUCCCAAUGAUCUGGUCCAUCACAUAUCCACAUGACUAGACUAGGUGAUCUUUAUUUCAGUCUGCAUCUACCGUAAUAUUGACAUUAAAAAGAAUAUAUUUUCAGUAUUAGUCAAUAUAGUGAAUAUAUAUAUUCACUUUUAAUGUCAAUUAAAAAGAAUAUAUUUUCAAUGUUAGUCAAUACAGUUAGUGAAUAUAUAUGUAUGAAUAUGUCGCUUGGAAUUUUCAUCUUAAGGAAGAGAUGUUUUGCCUUGUAUAACCUUUUAGUUUACAUCUUCUAUUUGAGUCUUACCUCUUAUUUCUCUAAUUUGAUGGAAGUCAUCUGAUAGGGUUUAGGAUACAUGUUAUCUGGGUGAUGGGAAAAUUUAGCUGCUAGUUUAGUGGCUAACAGCAUUCCAGUAAUGGGCUUUCUGAAAGGGUGAAAAAUAUAAAGCUAUCACCAUGUGUUUGCUGGGAAUGAUUUUGAAAAGCAAUUGGAAAAAGACCAAAAUCUAAAUUAUUGUACUAUUGAAUUCAAGUCAGUAUUGUAGAAAGCAAAAACAUUGAACUGGCUUUUAGAUAGAUAACUUAUACACCACGUCUGACUGAGGUUUAUCCUGUAAUAAGAAAUAAGAUUUGAAAAUAAACAACUGUGUGUUGUUAUAGAGGACAUAGUUUCCCCAAUCUUAGGCAUGACUAGUUUCUACUGUGCAGCAAGAGAUAAUGACUCCCAUCUUUCUCCUAAUUAGAUGAGUGCAGUGAACUUCUGUGAUUCCCAUCUGCCUACGAUUUAUCCUUCUUCUGAUAAUAGCACCCCGAUUUUCCUCUGGGUGAUACAACUUCCCUCCCUGUUUGACCACAUACUUUGGGAGUUGGAGGGUGAGAGCAGGAGAACAUUCCUCUUAGCACAGUGAUUGGUUUUUGGAUGGGAAUGAGACAAUUUAGAACAGUAAGAAUUAAUUUUCAGACUUUUGUUAAAUAGCUAGAGGAGUCCUUUUUCAUUUUGCUGGAUUUGAAACUAGGAGGAAGGUGGGGCAAGACCUGAUGACAACUAUUUUGUCAUUCUGCAAACUCAAGCUGAGUUUGAAGCUAUCACAUCUAUGCCCUGGAGAUUUUCCCAUGAGCAUAUAUAGGAUUAAAACAGUUUUCUUUUUUUUUAAGUCACCUAAAACCAAACUAAUCCUAAUUGAUUCACUGAGCACCUGCCCAAAUCAUGUAAAUUCUCUAGGCUGCAAUGUUUUCAUUUUUCAAAAGGUAUAUGCAAAAUAAGGGUAAAAAUCUAAAAAAAAACUUUAGUACUCCCAAGCUGUAUACAAUUAUAAGUGUAUAAGCACAUACAAGAAAAGAAAGAAUAUAUAAGAAAGUGGUAAUGUGUUUCACUUGAGGAAUGAGGACUUAGAAUUGGGAGGGAGACUCAGUUUUCACUAUGUAUUGUUUUGUACUAUUUGAGUUUUGAGUUUUAAAUUUUUAUGUGUGUGUUUCACCUAUUAAAAAUCCCAAUUGUAUGUUUCUAGGAAGACACUUUGUUUGUUUUCAGAGACAGAGUCUUGCUACAUUGCCAAGUGUCUGGUCUUAAACUGCUGGCCUCAAACAAUCCUCUUGCCUCGGCCUCCCAAACUGCUGGAAUUACAGGCAUGAGCCACUAUCCCUGGCCAAAGACAACAUCGACAUGUUUAUAUCCAUAUAACAAGUUCAUCUUUUGAAUUUAAUAUUUGGUAGUACAUAAACGCUGUAGUAUAUCUUUCCAUUUGUUAAGAUUCUUUUCCUUCAAAAUGUGCUAAAAUAAUGGUGAUGACACAAAUAUUAAAAUUAAUGUUCAGAUGCUUCAAAAUAUAUUAAUAGUAUACACUUGAUACUACUUUUAAUACUUUCUGAUUUUUAUAUACAAUUUCUCCUCCCUCAUUUUCAGAGUAUUAAUUCCAUUUAUCAAGGUGCCAUCUGCUCAAUUCCUCUAAUCCUCAGUUCACCCAUUUUGAAGAUGAGACAUCUCAAAGUAAAUUAAUCAUUCAAAUUGAGGACUUAGAGGGAGCUUAUGUAAUUCUAUUUCAUUACCUCUUCUAGCCUCGGGAAUGGGUUAUUCCAUUUCAUUUUAUUUCCCAUUGUCCUCACAUUGUCUUAUUUGAACUUAUUGAAAUGAUUUAAGUGAAUCUUGUGCUCAGAGGCACAGAAAUACAAGACCUAGAAGUGAGAUAUAUGAAGAUGAAUAUUAUUUGGGUACAUUUUGAUCCUCCUGUAUUUUCUUUAUCCUCAGGGAAUUAUGUAUCAGGGUCAGAAUGAGGUUAUCUAUGGAGGCUUGUUCUACUGCCCUGCUAUUAAUAUUUUGCCCCCUUCUCGUUUAGGUCUUGGUUGCAAUAUCAUUAAUAUUUUGAAUCUAAGCAAUGGACUUGAAAGGACCUGGUUAGAAUGUAAAGAUCUAUGUGGGGUUUUUUUUUUUUCAGUGUAG
rnacentral:lncRNA from 10 species